GCUAGUGUAGCUUAACGUAAAGCAUAAC
rnacentral:tRNA from 1 species